rnacentral:rRNA from 1 species
AACGAAUGCUGGUGGUAUGCUUAACACAUGCAAGUCGAACGGACUUUAGAGAGCUUGCUCUUUAAAGUUAGUGGCAAACGGGUGAGUAAUGUAUAAGAAUCUACCUAACAGUAUGGAAUAACCUUGGGAAACUAAGGAUAAUACCAUAUAUUACCAUUUAUUUGGGAAAGAUUUAUCGCUGUUAGAUGAGCUUAUAUCAGAUUAGCUAGUUGGUAGGGUAAUGGCUUACCAAGGCAAUGAUCUGUAACUGGUCUGAGAGGAUGAUCAGUCACACUGGAACUGCGACACGGUCCAGACUCCUACGGGAGGCAGCAGUGAGGAAUAUUGGACAAUGGGCGAAAGCCUGAUCCAGCAAUACCACGUGAAUGAUGACGGCCUUAGGGUUGUAAAAUUCUUUUAGUAGGGAAGAUAAUGACGGUACCUACAGAAAAAGCACCGGCUAACUUCG